GGCUGACGCCUGGGAUGAAUUAGGGCCCCUUUAGGUCUCUGUUCUUUUCCUCUUCGCACCACCCUUCGCAAUGGCCAGCAUGAGGUGCCCAGCCCAGGUCCCCACUGCUGACUAGAACAGAUCCUUUCUGCCAGGAGGGGGAUGUCCCAAAGAGUCCCAGAAUCCUGCACGUUUCCCUAGGGGCUUUCUCACUUCCCGGAGGCUGGGACGGAAAUGGUGGCGGCGCUCCUCCAAGCUUCUUGUGACCUCACAGUGCCUCUCAGUGGUCACACAGCACACUGCAAGCCGAGGGAUUAGUCUGUUUCUUCCCAGGUCACAACUGUGCUUCUCCCCGCCUCUCCAACUGCCUGGAUUGCUUCCAUCCUUCCUUCCCAGCUGACCCCUCUCCAGAGAAGAUCGAAGUCAUUACCUUUCAGCAGCGAGAUCACCUCCCAACCAUUGUGGACACUUUCAAAAUAACGUGAAACACUGAUGGACAGUGGAAGAGGUAAGAGAGGAAAAUGUGAUUUAAUUCUGUGUUCAAUGAAAAGAAAGGGUGCUGAAACUUCCAUGAACUUUAGAUACUUUUAACCUAGUUCUGAAAAAAAAAAAAAAAGUGUUUGUUUUUGUGGACUUUUAAGGCCGUAAGUAAGAGACUGUAAGGAGA
rnacentral:lncRNA from 1 species